GACGGAGGGGGCUAGCGUUGUUCGGAAUUACUGGGCGUAAAGCGCACGUAGGCGGCGGUUCAAGUUGGGGGUGAAAUCCCGGGGCUCAACCCUGGAAUGGCCUCCAAGACUGGACUGCUGGAGUCCGGAAGAGGAGAGCGGAAUUCCCAGUGUAGAGGUGAAAUUCGUAGAUAUUGGGAAGAACACCAGUGGCGAAGGCGGCUUUCUGGUCCGGUACUGACGCUGAGGUGCGAAAGCGUGGGGAGCAAACAGG
rnacentral:rRNA from 1 species